rnacentral:rRNA from 1 species
CGGCUGUCAGUAACACGUAGUCAACUUACCCUAUGGACGAGGAUAAUCUCGGGAAACUGAGCAUAAUACUCGAUAGAUCAUAAUGCCUGGAAUGGUUUAUGGUUGAAAUGAUUCGUCGCCAUAGGAUGGGACUGCGGCCUAUCAGCUUGUUGGUGAGGUAAUGGCCCACCAAGGCGAUUACAGGUACGGGCUCUGAGAGGAGAAGCCCGGAGAUGGGUACUGAGACAAGGACCCAGGCCCUAUGGGGCGCAGCAGGCGAGAAAACUUUGCAAUGUGCGAAAGCACGACAAGGUUAAUCCGAGUGAUUUCUGCUAAAGAAAUCUUUUGCAAGUCAUAAAACCACUAGUGAAUAAGGGGUGGGCAAGUUCUGGUGUCAGCCGCCGCGGUAAAACCAGCACCUCAAGUGGUCAGGAGGAUUAUUGGGCCUAAAGCAUCCGUAGCCGGCUCUGUAAGUUUUCGGUUAAAUCCAUGUGCUCAACGCAUGGGCUGCCGAAAAUACUGCAUAGCUAGGGAGUGGGAGAGGUAGACGGUACUCGGUAGGAAGGGGUAAAAUCCUUUGAUCUAUCGAUGACCACCUGUGGCGAAGGCGGUCUACCAGAACACGUUCGACGGUGAGGGAUGAAAGCUGGGGGAGCAAACCGGAUUAGAUACCCGGGUAGUCCCAGCUGUAAACGAUGCAGACUCGAUGAUGCAUUGGCAUAUAGCCAGUGCAGUGUCGCAGGGAAGCCGUUAAGUCUGCCGCCUGGGAAGUACGUACGCAAGUAUGAAACUUAAAGGAACGGCGGGGGAGCAG